CAUAAUGGACUUGUCCUAGUUAUUAGAACACUAUGACAUAAUGGACUUGUCCUAGUUAUUAGAACACUAUGACAUAAUGGACGUGUCUUAGUUAUUAGAAUACUAUGACAUAAUUGACUUGUCUUAAUUAUUAGAACACUAUGACAUAAUGGAGUUGUCCUAGUUAUUAGAACAUUAUCAGAUAACCUGUCAUCUUAGUUAUUAGAACACUAUGCCAUAAUGGACUUGUCUUAGUUAUUAGAACAUCAUCAGAUAACCUGUCAUCUUAGUUAUUAGAACACUAUGCCAUAAUGGACUUGUCCUAGAUAUUAGAACAUCAUCACAUAACCUCUUGUCUAGGUAUUAGAACACUGUCACAUAAUUGUAAACCUAUUUUAAGAUUAUCUUCUUGUGUUUAUGUUUCAGCAUUUUUUGACCCGAUGUUCGACCUAAUGGUUUCGUAUUAUAACAUUUUGUCAAGAAUGGUGGAUAUUAAUUCAGAAUUAGCAUCGUCUUACAAUGAAAGCAGAGAGUACAGGACCUUGAACUAGUUACCUGUUCCAAGACAUGGUAGGAGGAGAUGCGGUCUGCUCUGCUGUUACAGCAAGACACCCGACGAACAUCUGAAAAACUCAUUUCUAUGACAACUUCUGUUUGCAUUAUAGUGUCGGAAGACAGCAACCCUGAAGCUGAAAAAAGUUUAUUUUCCCAGAUUAAAGAUGCAGUCGGAGGUGUACUCAACAAUUUUUUUAACAGGGUUUCCAACUCAAUCCCGGAGGUAGAACUCAAGUUUUAGACUUAAAAAAACUAUUAAAUUCAUCACAUUCGGAAGGACAUUCAGGACAUCAAAAUGAACCUUUACACAUGUAGCUUUUACAGUAGUAAAAAUAAAUGUCUUCUAAAAAGUA